GCUCAGAUUGAACGCUGGCGGCGUGGAUGAGGCACGCAAGUCGAACGAAGCUUACCGAGCUUGCUCGGUUGGCUUAGUGGCGAAAGGGUUAGUAAUACAUGAAUAAUCUGCCUUUAACUCUGGAAUAACGAUUGGAAACGGUCGCUAAUACCGGAUGUGGUGGAGCAAGGCAUCUUGACUUCAUUAAAGUGGGGGAUCGUAAGACCUUGCGGUUGGAGAGGAGCUCAUGGGAUAUCAGCUUGUUGGUGAGGUAAAGGCUCACCAAGGCUAAGACGUCUAGGCGGGUUGAGAGAUUGACCGCCAACACUGGGACUGAGACACUGCCCAGACUCCUACGGGAGGCUGCAGUCGAGAAUCUUUCGCAAUGGGCGAAAGCCUGACGAAGCGACGCCGUGUGAGCGAUGAAGGCCUUCGGGUUGUAAAGCUCUUUCGCCAGGGAACAAGAGAAGUUGACGAAUAAUCAGCUAAUCAGAGGGUACCAGGUAAAGAAGCACCGGCUAACUCCGUGCCAGCAGCUGCGGUAAUACGGAGGGUGCAAGCGUUAAUCGGAUUUAUUGGGCGUAAAGGGCGCGUAGGCGGGGUGGACAGUUAGAUGUGAAAGUCCGGAGCUCAACUCCGGAACCGCGUUUGAAACUGCCUUUCUUGAGGUUAGGCGGAGAAAGCGGAAUUCCACGUGUAGCGGUGAAAUGCGUAGAUAUGUGGAAGAACACCGGUGGCGAAGGCGGCCUUCUAGCUUAUUCCUGACGCUGAGGCGCGAAAGCAAGGGUAGCAAACAGGAUUAGAUACCCUGGUAGUCCUUGCCGUAAACGAUGCACACUUGGUGUAGCCGGUCUCAACCCCGGCUUUGCCGGAGCUAACGCGUUAAGUGUGCCGCCUGGGGAGUACGCUCGCAAGGGUGAAACUCAAAAGAAUUGACGGGGACCCGCACAAGCAGUGGAGCAUGUGGUUUAAUUCGAUGCAACGCGAAGAACCUUACCCAGGCUUGACAUGCAGAGGCCAACACCAGAGAUGGUGUGUUCCUUCGGGACCUCUGCACAGGUGCUGCAUGGCUGUCGUCAGCUCGUGCCGUGAGGUGUUGGGUUAAGUCCCGCAACGAGCGCAACCCUUAUCGUUAGUUGCCAGCAUUUAAGGUGGGAACUCUAACGAGACUGCCUGGGUUAACCAGGAGGAAGGUGAGGAUGACGUCAAGUCAGCAUGGCCCUUAUGCCUAGGGCUACACACGUGCUACAAUGGCCGGUACAGAAGGCAGCGAAUCCGCAAGGUGGAGCAAAUCCAAAAAGCCGGUCCCAGUUCGGAUAGUAGUCUGCAACUCGACUACAUGAAGUUGGAAUUGCUAGUAAUGGCGUGUCGGCAACAACGCCGUGAUACGUUCCCGGGUCUUGUACACACCGCCCGUCACAUCAUGGGAGUUGGUUUUACCCGAAGUCGCUGACUUAACCGCAAGGAGAGAGGCGCCGAAGGUGAGGCUGAUGACU
rnacentral:rRNA from 1 species